rnacentral:rRNA from 1 species
CGGAAUGUGUAGUGUAGCGGUGAAAUGCUUAGAUAUUACACAGAACACCUAUUGCGAAGGCAGCUUACUAAACUACUACUGACGUUGAGGCACGAAAGCGUGGGGAGCGAACAGGAUUAGAUACCCUGGUAGUCCACGCUGUAAACUAUGAUCACUCGUUGUUCGCGAUACAUUGUGAGCGACCAAGCGAAAGCAUUAAGUGAUCACCUGGGGAUUACGUCGGCAACGAUGAAACUCAAAGGAAUUGACGGGGGCCCGCACAAGCGGAGGAACAUGUGGUUUAAUUCGAUGAUACGCGAGGAACCUUACCUGGGCUUAAAUGCAGAACGAUAUAUCGGGAAACUGGUAUUUCCUUCGGGGCGGACUGCAAGGUGCUGCAUGGUUGUCGUCAGCUCGUGCCGUGAGGUGUCGGGUUAAGUCCCAUAACGAGCGCAACCCUUAUUGUUAGUUGCCAGCGGGUAAUGCCGGGGACUCUAACGGAACUGCCAUCGUAAGGUGGAGGAAGGUGGGGAUGACGUCAAAUCAGCACGGCCCUUAUGUCCAGGGCUACACACGUGUUACAAUGGCCAGUACAAAGGGCAGCUACCUGGAGACAGGAUGCUAAUCUCGAAAACUGGUCUCAGUUCGGAUCGUAGUCUGCAAUUCGACUACGUGAAGUUGGAUUCGCUAGUAAUCGCGCAUCAGCCAUGGCGCGGUGAUACGUUCCCGGGCAUGUACACACCGCCCGUCAAGCCA